UACAGAGGUCCCAAGCGUUGUUCGGAUUCAUUGGGCGUAAAGGGUGCGUAGGUGGCGCCGUAAGUGGGGUGUGAAAUUUCGGAGCUUAACUCCGAAACUGCAUUCCAUACUGCGGUGCUUGAGGACUGGAGAGGAGACUGGAAUUUACGGUGUAGCAGUGAAAUGCGUAGAUAUCGGGAGGAACACCAGUGGCGAAGGCGGCUACCUGGGCCAGUUCUGACGCUGAGGCGCGAAAGCGUGGGGAUCAAACAGG
rnacentral:rRNA from 1 species